UUGCAAUGUCAUGAUUCGUUUAUCAACUGUUGUGUUAAGAGGAUAUUUACAACAGUGUGUCUCGCAGGUGUAGGAACAGGAAGGGUUUGCAUUUGCUCAUUGCACAACCUGCAAGGCUCCUUACCAUUUGAGAGUUCAUGUUAUUGCUGAUAGAAAAUGGCGAACCUUGAAAUUCCGAUUCUUUGUCACUAGAGACAUUAUUUUUAUAUUUCUGGCUGUUCAGCUUGUGAUUGCUUCAUUGGCAUAUUUGGUGUAUCUAAUAGAUGGUUUCCAGCAAUUCUGGCUUCGUCUUGCAUGGUGUAUCUAAACAUUUGGGCUUCGUUCACCUUUGUCUGGAACACAAAGAAGCACCUGACACAGAGAGUCCAGAAUUUGGACGAUAAAUUGCUGGAGCAGAAAGAGAUCUCAAAGUCGAUUCUGGAGAAUAAGGCUAUUGGGUAAGGACUUGACUGGUUUGAGCUUGAAAGAAUUGCAGCAACUAGAACAGCAAUUAAAUGAAGGAUUAUUGUCAGUGAAGGAGAGGAAGGCCUGAAUAUAUAUUUUACUAUUUCAAGAGCAAUUACUAGUGGAGCAACUAGAGCAAUCAAGAGUACAGGUA